rnacentral:rRNA from 1 species
AGGGUUCGAUUCUGGCUCAGGACGAACGCUGGCGGCGUGCUUAACACAUGCAAGUCGAACGAGGAUUAUGGUUGGAAGGGCUUCGGCCUGGAAGGCGUAAUUCGAGUGGCGGACGGGUGAGUAACGCGUGAACAAUCUGUCCCGGACAGGGGAAUAACACUUGGAAACAGGUGCUAAUACCGCAUAAGACCACGCCCUCGCAGUGGGGGAGGGGUAAAAGGAGGAAUCCGGGUUCGGGGUGAGUUCGCGUCCGAUUAGAUAGUUGGUGAGGUAACGGCCCACCAAGUCGACGAUCGGUAGCCGACCUGAGAGGGUGAUCGGCCACAUUGGAACUGAGAGACGGUCCAAACUCCUACGGGAGGCAGCAGUGGGGAAUAUUGGGCAAUGGGCGAAAAAGCCUGACCCAGCAACGCCGCGUGAGUGAAGAAGGCUUUCGGGUUGUAAAGCUCUGUUAUAGGGGACGAAGGAAGUGACGGUACCCUAUAAGGAAGCCCCGGCUAACUACGUGCCAGCCGCUGC